rnacentral:rRNA from 1 species
UACGGAGGGUGCAAGCGUUAUCCAGAUUCACUGGGUUUAAAGGGUGCGUAGGCGGGCAUUUAAGUCAGUGGUGAAAUACCUGAGCUUAACUUGGGAACUGCCAUUGAUACUAUUUGUCUUGAAUGUCGUGGAGGUUAGCGGAAUAUGUCAUGUAGCGGUGAAAUGCUUAGAUAUGACAUAGAACACCUAUUGCGAAGGCAGCUAACUACGCGAAUAUUGACGCUGAGGCACGAAAGCGUGGGGAUCAAACAGG